rnacentral:tRNA from 1 species
GGAGAGGUGGCUCAGUGGCAGAGCACUUGUCCAGCAAACAUGAAGCCCUGGGCUCGAUCCUCAGCUCCUCAA